GUCUUGUGGAGGGCAAAGGGUUCCCGUCUUUUAUUAGCAACUGCCUUGUAAGUAGUGGGGCGUGGGUUCGAAUCCUUCCGGAGACG
rnacentral:tRNA from 1 species